rnacentral:lncRNA from 1 species
GCAGGCGCCUGGGCCGGGUGCCCGGCCGUGCGUGAGUGCGGCCUCGUGGAUUCUGGCCCCGGACGCACGAAGCGGGUUCUACUUUUUAAAAAAACUGCGUUGCCUUUUCCUUCCUCUACGUUAGCAUCCUGUCCGGGGUCCCCGGCCCAUGUGGCCUUUCUUCCAGCGACAGUACACUUAGCUCAGAACGGAUUGACACCCACUCUGUGUUUCCACCGGGCGCGCAGGCUCUGCAAUGCGGAGCGCGUUCUCUGAAGGACAGGCCCCGGAGUCACGGCUACAGCCACAGAAAGCGGAAACCGAGCUGCAGUCCAGAGGGGAUCCCCGUACAUUUCCAGCGGGCUCAGACACAGGGUCCCCCACAAGAAAGAAACAGGACAGAAAAAGUCAGGACACGUAUGCUGUGGAGAGUCGAGGUCUCGCCUAGAUCUUGGGUGUGGGUAGACGCAGCCGCUGGCAGUUUUCCUUUCCAGCGUCUCUGGGGAGCCUGGAGAUGUCCUUGGUGCCGAUGUGACACGAAGAGUGAUUGCGCCGCCCUGCAGAGGCGGUGGCGGGACGCUGCGCUCGGGCUGGGAAAGGCCGGCCCCAGGGCGACCCCUCCGGAGGCCCCCGGAGAGCAGGUGUGCACCUCGCCUCCCGCUGGGCAGCCAGUUCAGGAGAAAAAUGUGAAGCUUUUAGCUAAACAAAAUAUUUCUUUCGUUAAGGGCUUUCUCCACACGGAGACUUUCUAGCCACGUGAGACUUUGACCUCCCAGUCCCCCAGAUUCAGCGCUGGGACCGAGCGUCUGCUGUUAUUUUUAGUAGAAGUAUAAAAAGAAUCUCGAAAAGUUUUAGCUCUGGAGAAGGCGUGAAUACAGCUGGUGCCUUCAUACACUCCACUUGAGCCGCUCUUUAAGAACUCCAGGAGAUCAGAAAGCAAUACGAAAGCCAGAGCAUUGCACAUGGGAUGGGCUGGCGGGUGGCCUUUGGGUCCCUAUCUUAUGGACGAUUUUUGUAAAUGGGGCAUUGGAGAUGAGUAUCACCUGGAUCACAUUUUUAGGUUGAAUUCCUCCGUGGGGGGAACUUUAGCAAUACGCAUCCAAAUAAGAAUGUAGAUUGCAAUAAUUGUAGUAAAGUGUUUGCCAGACUCAUCUCAGAAAAAGACAUUAUCAAAAGGCAUUUAUUAUCUUCCUAAUGCGUGUCUGGCACUGGGCAGACACUGUAGAAUACUAUCUUGAUUAGAGUCUCAAGGAUUUUGUACUUAAAGUCCUUUACAAAUAAAAGUAUUCAAGUAUA